CCACGCAGUAAACGAUGAUUACUAGUUGUUUGCGAUACACAGUAAGCGACUGAGCGAAAGCAUUAAGUAAUCCACCUGGGGAGUACGUUCGCAAGAAUGAAACUCAAAGGAAUUGACGGGGGCCCGCACAAGCGGAGGAACAUGUGGUUUAAUUCGAUGAUACGCGAGGAACCUUACCCGGGAUUGAAAUGUAUAUGCUGACAGGUAGAAAUACUUGUUGUUCCCUUCGGGGACAUAUAUGUAGGUGCUGCAUGGUUGU
rnacentral:rRNA from 1 species